rnacentral:rRNA from 1 species
CUCCUACGGGAGGCAGCAGUGAGGAAUAUUGGUCAAUGGGCGCUAGCCUGAACCAGCCAAGUAGCGUGAAGGAUGAAGGCUCUAUGGGUCGUAAACUUCUUUUAUAUAAGAAUAAAGUGCAGUAUGUAUACUGUUUUGUAUGUAUUAUAUGAAUAAGGAUCGGCUAACUCCGUGCCAGCAGCCGCGGUAAUACGGAGGAUCCGAGCGUUAUCCGGAUUUAUUGGGUUUAAAGGGAGCGUAGGUGGACUGGUAAGUCAGUUGUGAAAGUUUGCGGCUCAACCGUAAAAUUGCAGUUGAUACUGUCAGUCUUGAGUACAGUAGGGGUGGGCGGAAUUCGUGGUGUAGCGGUGAAAUGCUUAGAUAUCACGAAGAACUCCGAUUGCGAAGGCAGCUCACUGGACUGCAACUGACACUGAUGCUCGAAAGUGUGGGUAUCAAACAGGAUUAGAUACCCUGGUAGUCCACACAGUAAACGAUGAAUACUCGCUGUUUGCGAUAUACAGUAAGCGGCCAAGCGAAAGCAUUAAGUAUUCCACCUGGGGAGUACGCCGGCAACGGUGAAACUCAAAGGAAUUGACGGGGGCCCGCACAAGCGGAGGAACAUGUGGUUUAAUUCGAUGAUACGCGAGGAACCUUACCCGGGCUUAAAUUGCAGUGGAAUGAUGUGGAAACAUGUCAGUGAGCAAUCACCGCUGUGAAGGUGCUGCAUGGUUGUCGUCAGCUCGUGCCGUGAGGUGUCGGCUUAAGUGCCAUAACGAGCGCAACCCUUAUCUUCAGUUACUAACAGGUCAUGCUGAGGACUCUGGAGAGACUGCCGUCGUAAGAUGUGAGGAAGGUGGGGAUGACGUCAAAUCAGCACGGCCCUUACGUCCGGGGCUACACACGUGUUACAAUGGUCGGAGCAGCAGGAAGCUACCUGGCGACAGGAUGCUGAUCCCAAAACCCGGCCUCAGUUCGGACUGGAGUCUGCAACCCGACUCCACGAAGCCGGAUUCGCUAGUAAUCGCGCAUCAGCCAUGGCGCGGUGAAUACGUUCCCGGGCCUUGUACACACCGC